rnacentral:rRNA from 1 species
GUAGUCCACGCCGUAAACGAUGAACACUUGUUGUUGGAGGUAUUGACCCCUUCAGUGACGAAGCUAACGCGUUAAGUGUUCCGCCUGGGGAGUACGGUCGCAAGAUUAAAACUCAAAGAAAUUGACGGGGGCCCGCACAAGCGGUGGAGCAUGUGGUUUAAUUCGAUGCAACGCGAAAAACCUUACCUGGGCUCGAAAUGUACGGGAAGUAAGCAGAGAUGUUUACGUCUUCGGACCCGUAUAUAGGUGCUGCAUGGCUGUCGUCAGCUCGUGUCGUGAGAUGUUGGGUUAAGUCCCGCAACGAGCGCAACCCUUGCCUUUAGUUGCCAGCAUUCAGUUGGGCACUCUAAAGGGACUGCCGGUGUUAAACCGGA